rnacentral:rRNA from 1 species
GGGUGUGAUCAUACUAGUGUUAAUGCACUGUAUCCCAUCAGAACUUCAUAGUUAAAUGUGCUUGGGAUAGAGUAGUAUUGUGAUGGGUGACCUCCCAGGAAGUCCUAGUUUUUCACCCU